UCAGGUCUGCUGGUGUGAGGUCUGCUGGUGUGAGAUCUGAUCAGGUCUGCUGGUGUGAGAUCUGCGGGUGUGAGGUCUGACCAGGUCUGCUGGUGUGAGGUCUGACCAGGUCUGCUGGUGUGAGGUCUGAUCAGGUCUGCCGGUGUGAGGUCUGCUGAGGUAGAGAGGUAUUGGAGUUGAUUGUUUGACCUCACAGAGCUGUUAGUAUUCUGAAGUGAGGCUGAGGUACUCAACUCACCGCCGUCCCCACAACCCUCCCUGUCCCUUGUCCUC